UUUUCCUAUCUUCAAAGAGUCACAAAGACUAAAAUUCUAUCUCUCCACAGUAGACUCUCUCCAGUCAUGGACAUUUGAGCCUAAGGCAUCAGUGGGACCUGAAUACAGCAUGCAAGACAUUGCCACCUCCUCAAUACAUAUGAAACCAGCAGCAGGCAAGAAUUGCAACCUUGGCUGAACUACAAGAAGGCUCAAGAAAUCCAUACUGCAGCACGUUCCAAGAUGAAAUUCCAAAACAGAAUGAAAUAUUUCCUGGUGCAAAAGACCCUCAGUGGACCAAGAAAUUUGCUUGGAACCAAAGAAACCAGAAUGGCUUUCUAAAGACUCAAUACAGCAUCUGUUCUGGGACCAGGAUAAUAUGGAAACUGACAAAGGAAUUGUUGAAGUAUGAAAGCAUUGAAACACACUGUGAAAACUAUAAGUGAGACUUAACUGAAGGUAGAAAGUAAAACAUUACCUAAAGAUAUAUAUUUGUGCAUAUGGGGUGGACAUUCUAUUAGCUAUUUCC
rnacentral:lncRNA from 1 species